rnacentral:lncRNA from 1 species
GCAAAAUGAACAAUUAAUCAUUUUUACAAGAAAACACUAUUUUCUUUUAGCAGAAGUACAAAUGAAGAGAGUAAAAUUUUAACCGUUUAUCUGUUCCAUUUAUUCGAGGCACCUACAGUGGGCCUCUUCACAGACCGAAACCCUGAAAUGGAAAGAACAAAAGCAGCCCACAUGAAUGGAAAGAGAGAAUAUUUAAUGGGUUAUAGCUGUGAGGGGUCACGCCAGCACCAAGGACCCUUCCAUGGAUUUAAACAUAGCACAGAGAGAGAGAGAGCCUCUAGCAAGUUAUUUUUAAAAGUGACAACAAUUCUGCAGAGCAUUUAUCUUUUUUUGUCGGCUGGGGCUGAGGCUCUGUAGGUCCAUCUCACAUGGAAGCUUGCCACCACCAUUAUAUACCUACAGAGACAAAGACCUAAUUCUUGAUCUCACGAACAAAACCCAGCUUGUAAUCUUGUGUGCUUUCCAUGAAACUGGGUGCCCAGAGAUCUACCGAAAGGGAAGGGAUGAGUCAGAAACCCGAAUCGCUGACUCAGGUACUUGUGUUUGUUUAUAUGACAAAACAAAAGAGAGACGGUGGAAAAACUGGGAAUCGAUCUCCCUCGGAGAUGAUUUUGACAUGUGGGCUCCAUGAUGGGUAGUGGGCCCUUGCUUGUAGUCCUAGGUAUUGCUAUGGUUGACAGCCCAUGUGCAUGUACCAGCCUAAGACAUGCUGCUGCUGUGAUGAUGUUUUUCUCUGUAGGAGGAGAGGAUAAGGACUCUACAUUUUUUGUGCUUAUGCAAUACUUUAUCUUAGUUUGACAACUGAAGCUAAAUUCUUAACUAGUUGAUGUGCUUUGUCUCUUUGCAUGACCAUUGAGUUUUCGGGAUUCUUUUUUCUU